rnacentral:misc_RNA from 1 species
ACGGAACUUUGCCGUGCAUGGACACUGUAGAGCGCAUGAAUGCAUCAAGUCAAAAGAGGAGUCAUGUGAGGACUUUAGUAAAGCAGAGGUCACCUGGUUCCCGCCGCCCGUUGGUGCUGAACUGAUGAUGAUGUGUGCUCGAGCUGGCUGGACCGUUUAUGCAUGCAGCCUCCUACUCUACCUACAUGCAUGCAUGCAUGGUCGCGUGUCAUCCGUCGUCAUGCAAGUGCUGCCCAGGAACUUGCUAGUAGUAGCAGUGCUGCACACCAUGGGCCAUGGCAGCUCUGCUAGUCCUAGGUUUCUUCUAGGCCAUCACGGGGACGUCAUCGGCAUGAAUCUUCUUCUCUUGGCUGCUAGUAUGUCGUGUCACGCCGGCUGUGC